rnacentral:lncRNA from 1 species
GACAUUAACCAGAAAGGAAGACUAUUCAGGAUCUCAUCCGUCUUAAACCCGGUGGUGCUGAAGGAAUCUUCUAGAUCUUCUAGAGCGUGGGAAGGCUGAAUGGGCUCAACAUGAAGAGCCUGAAAGCGAAGUUCAGGAAGAGUGAC